rnacentral:rRNA from 1 species
GAUGAACGCUAGCGGCAGGCCUAACACAUGCAAGUCGAGGGGUAGAACACUUCGGUGUUUGAGACCGGCGCACGGGUGCGUAACGCGUAUGCAAUCUACCUUGUACAGGGGAAUAGCCCAGAGAAAUUUGGAUUAAUGCCCCAUAGUAUAUAACCUUCGCAUGUUGGUUAUAUUAAAGUUCCAACGGUACAAGAUGAGCAUGCGUCCCAUUAGUUAGUUGGUAAGGUAACGGCUUACCAAGACGAUGAUGGGUAGGGGUCCUGAGAGGGAGAUCCCCCACACUGGUACUGAGACACGGACCAGACUCCUACGGGAGGCAGCAGUGAGGAAUAUUGGGCAAUGGGCGCAAGCCUGAACCAGCCAUGCCGCGUGCAGGAAGACGGUCCUAUGGAUUGUAAACUGCUUUUAUACAGGAAGAAACCCUCCCACGUGUGGGAGAUUGACGGUACUGUGGGAAUAAGGAUCGGCUAACUCCGUGCCAGCCGCCGCGGUAACAC